UACGUAGGUGGCAAGCGUUGUCCGGAAUUAUUGGGCGUAAAGCGCGCGCAGGCGGUCCUUUAAGUCUGAUGUGAAGGCCCACGGCUCAACCGUGGAGGGUCAUUGGAAACUGGGGGGACUUGAGUGCAGAAGAGGAGAGUGGAAUUCCACGUGUAGCGGUGAAAUGCGUAGAGAUGUGGAGGAACACCAGUGGCGAAGGCGACUCUCUGGUCUGUAACUGACGCUGAGGCGCGAAAGCGUGGGGAGCAAACAGG
rnacentral:rRNA from 1 species